GCCCUGUGACCACAAAGUUCAACGGCCGCGGUAUCCUGACCGUGCGAAGGUAGCGUAAUCACUUGUCUUUNAAAUGAAGACCUGUAUGAAUGGCAUAACGAGGGUUUAACUGUCUCCCUCUCCCAGUCAAUGAAAUUGAUCUACCCGUGCAGAAGCGGGUAUAAAAACAUAAGACGAGAAGACCCUAUGGAGCUUUAGGCCAAGGAUUAAACAUGUUAAAAUAACAAAAUCUACAAGAUAAAAACUAACCAAACCAAAUGUAAAUUGACCCAAGUGCCUUCGGUUGGGGCGACCACGGGGAAAAACAAAACCCCCACAUGGAAUGGAAACAUUCUCCUGAAGUAAGAAAAACAAUUCGAAGUACCAGAACAUCUGACCAAAAAUGACCCAGGGCAACGAACCCUGAUCAAUGAACCAAGUUACCCUAGGGAUAACAGCGCAAUCCUUUCCCAGAGCCCAUAUCGACGAAAGGGUUUACGACCUCGAUGUUGGAUCAGGACAUCGUAAUGGUGCAUUCGCUAUUAAGGGGUCGUUUGAACAACG
rnacentral:rRNA from 1 species